AUGUGCUGGUUUCUCUUUAGAUCGAAUAAAUCUUUUCCCUUUGUCUAAAGAUUUCCGUGGAGAGGAACAACCAUGAGUUUUCAAAAAUGUUUAAGGCUCUGCCCUAUGCAGGGC